rnacentral:rRNA from 1 species
GAACUCCUACGGGACGCAGCAGUGGGGAAUAUUGGACAAUGGGGGGAACCCUGAUCCAGCGACGCCGCGUGAGUGAAGAAGUAUUUCGGUAUGUAAAGCUCUAUCAGCAGGGAAGAAAGAAAUGACGGUACCUGACUAAGAAGCCCCGGCUAACUACGUGCCAGCAGCCGCGGUAAUACGUAGGAGGCAAGCGUUAUCCGGAUUUACUGGGUGUAAAGGGAGCGUAGACGGCGAUGCAAGUCUGAAGUGAAAGGCGGGGGCCCAACCCCCGGACUGCUUUGGAAACUGUAUGGCUGGAGGGCAGG